rnacentral:rRNA from 1 species
UACGAAGGGGGCUAGCGUUGUUCGGAAUCACUGGGCGUAAAGCGCACGUAGGCGGCUUGUUAAGUCGGGGGUGAAAUCCUGAGGCUCAACCUCAGAACUGCCUUCGAUACUGGCAAUCUCGAGUCCGGAAGAGGUUGGUGGAACAGCUAGUGUAGAGGUGAAAUUCGUAGAUAUUAGCUAGAACACCAGUGGUGAAGGCGGCCAACUGGUCCGGUACUGACGCUGAGGUGCGAAAGCGUGGGGAGCAAACAGG